rnacentral:rRNA from 1 species
UACGGGGGGAGCAAGCGUUGUUCGGAUUUACUGGGCGUAAAGGGCGCGUAGGCGGCCACCGCAAGUCAGUUGUGAAAUCUCUGGGCUUAACCCAGAACGGUCAGCUGAUACUGCGGGGCUAGAGUGCAGAAGGGGCAACUGGAAUUCUCGGUGUAGCGGUGAAAUGCGUAGAUAUCGAGAGGAACACCUGCGGCGAAGGCGGGUUGCUGGGCUGACACUGGCGCUGACAGCGCGAAAGCUAGGGGAGCGAACGGG